rnacentral:rRNA from 1 species
GACAGAGGAUGCAAGCGUUAUCCGGAAUGAUUGGGCGUAAAGCGUCUGUAGGUGGCUUUUAAGUCCGCCGUCAAAUCCCAGGGCUCAACCCUGGACAGGCGGUGGAAACUACCAAGCCGGAGUACGGUAGGGGCAGAGGGAAUUUCCGGUGGAGCGGUGAAAUGCGCAGAUAUCAGGAGGAACACCGGUGGCGAAGGCGGGUCUCUGGGCAGUAACUGACGCUGAGGAGCGAAAGCGUGGGAGCAAACAGG